UAGCCCCGACUAGCCCAGGACUCACAG
rnacentral:piRNA from 1 species